UAUAGAUAUGUUAUAUGUAUACAAACAUGCUACAAGGAUUUAAUUGUGUUUGUUUUAUUUGUAUCAUGCAGAAGGCUUCCUUCUACAAAUGUUUAGUCACCUGACAUAAAUGCACUGUAGUUCUAGAAAUGAGAAGAUGUGUGAAGUCGUGCAGGAUGUUGCAAACUAUUUCCCAACGGCAAUAAUUAGUGGAAGAUGACGUGAUAAGGCAUUGUCACGGAUGGCACAUAGCCCAAAUAUGCUAGUCAGUGUAUCGUAGCUGCCGAGUGGACUUAUGGGAUUACAAAUGUUCUGAAGACGGGUAUUGAUGCUGCCAAGUUCCUUGCAUAUUAAGAUAAGUUUACCAAAUUCAUUCUGUAAACCAAAGCUUAAACACUCUGCAACUGAAUGUUCAAACUCAGAGCUGUUGGAUGGUUGUAAUGAAUUCUCUAUAUCUUGGAUCCCCAUUCGCAUUGAGUUUGUGUUAGCAUUAUCAUCUAGUUUGAAGCCGCCGGGCUACUUUGACCCCUUUCCAUCUUGGUCACAUUCUUGUUUUUUUUUUUUUUUUGGCUAACGUAUAUAUGGGGGCUAAUCCCUUCGCACUCAGUCUCUCAUACAAACUCUGCUAUUUGUAGUUGGCAUAUGGUGGUAUCAAUGGUUGCAGGACAAACUGUACAACUGCCCCAUUGUUCGAGGCAUUUGGAGUGCCCUUUCAGUCAGGUCCAUAUGAGUCCAUCCAAAAAAAAAAAAAACAGGGGCAUGCAUUGGGUACAUCGCCGGUAUCAGUCAAAUACAUCCAAUACAA